AUGGACCGGUUCGACCCCGGCGCGCCGCCGCCGUUCGAGCUGGCGGACACCCACGCCGCCAUCCCCAAGCACUGCCAGAUGCGAUUAUCUGCAGGUCAGUCAGCCGUGUCAGCCUCAUGUACCCACCACGAGAUGAAAGAUGGAUUUGGAGAAGGGAGGGAGCAGGAGGAGAAGAGGAAGAAGACACCGUACCACCUCCAUGCACCUCCAAUUUCUCUAUCCUUUUCUUGCAGAAUAGGGAUGGACAAUUGGUCAAUAUACCGAACGGAUACAUUCACUGGAAAUGAGGGGCUAUUGAUGUUGUGGGCUUGA
rnacentral:rRNA from 1 species